rfam:Elusimicrobia bacterium RIFOXYA2_FTLL_40_6 rifoxya2_full_scaffold_4016, whole genome shotgun sequence.
GGUGCGGUACCCAAGUGGCAAGGGAACAGUCUGCAAAACUGUGAUUCGCCGGUUCAAAUCCGGCCCGCACCU